rnacentral:rRNA from 1 species
GACGAACGCUGGCGGCGUGCCUAAUACAUGCAAGUAGAACGCACAGGAUGCACCGUAGUUUACUACACCGUAUUCUGUGAGUUGCGAACGGGUGAGUAACGCGUAGGUAACCUGCCUGGUAGCGGGGGAUAACUAUUGGAAACGAUAGCUAAUACCGCAUAAGAACAUUUACUGCAUGGUAGAUGUUUAAAAGGUGCAAGAGCAUCACUACCAGAUGGACCUGCGUUGUAUUAGCUAGUUGGUGAGGUAACGGCUCACCAAGGCAACGAUACAUAGCCGACCUGAGAGGGUGAUCGGCCACACUGGGACUGAGACACGGCCCAGACUCCUACGGGAGGCAGCAGUAGGGAAUCUUCGGCAAUGGGGGAAACCCUGACCGAGCAACGCCGCGUGAGUGAAGAAGGUUUUCGGAUCGUAAAGCUCUGUUGUUAAGGAAGAACGUGUGUGAGAGUGGAAAGUUCACACAGUGACGGUACUUAACCAGAAAGGGACGGCUAACUACGUGCCAGCAGCCGCGGUAAUACGUAGGUCUCGAGCGUUGUCCGGAUUUAUUGGGCGUAAAGCGAGCGCAGGCGGUUAGAUAAGUCUGAAGUGAAAGGCAGUGGCUCAACCAUUGUAGGCUUUGGAAACUGUUUAACUUGAGUGCAGAAGGGGAGAGUGGAAUUCCAUGUGUAGCGGUGAAAUGCGUAGAUAUAUGGAGGAACACCGGUGGCGAAAGCGGCUCUCUGGUCUGUAACUGACGCUGAGGCUCGAAAAGCGUGGGGAGCGAACAGG